GACGAACGCUGGCGGCGUGCCUAAUACAUGCAAGUCGAACGAACUCUGGUAUUGAUUGGUGCUUGCAUCAUGAUUUACAUUUGAGUGAGUGGCGAACUGGUGAGUAACACGUGGGAAACCUGCCCAGAAGCGGGGGAUAACACCUGGAAACAGAUGCUAAUACCGCAUAACAACUUGGACCGCAUGGUCCGAGCUUGAAAGACGGCUUCGGCUAUCACUUUUGGAUGGUCCCGCGGCGUAUUAGCUAGAUGGUGGGGUAACGGCUCACCAUGGCAAUGAUACGUAGCCGACCUGAGAGGGUAAUCGGCCACAUUGGGACUGAGACACGGCCCAAACUCCUACGGGAGGCAGCAGUAGGGAAUCUUCCACAAUGGACGAAAGUCUGAUGGAGCAACGCCGCGUGAGUGAAGAAGGGUUUCGGCUCGUAAAACUCUGUUGUUAAAGAAGAACAUAUCUGAGAGUAACUGUUCAGGUAUUGACGGUAUUUAACCAGAAAGCCACGGCUAACUACGUGCCAGCAGCCGCGGUAAUACGUAGGUGGCAAGCGUUGUCCGGAUUUAUUGGGCGUAAAGCGAGCGCAGGCGGUUUUUUAAGUCUGAUGUGAAAGCCUUCGGCUCAACCGAAGAAGUGCAUCGGAAACUGGGAAACUUGAGUGCAGAAGAGGACAGUGGAACUCCAUGUGUAGCGGUGAAAUGCGUAGAUAUAUGGAAGAACACCAGUGGCGAAGGCGGCUGUCUGGUCUGUAACUGACGCUGAGGCUCGAAAGUAUGGGUAGCAAACAGGAUUAGAUACCCUGGUAGUCCAUACCGUAAACGAUGAAUGCUAAGUGUUGGAGGGUUUCCGCCCUUCAGUGCUGCAGCUAACGCAUUAAGCAUUCCGCCUGGGGAGUACGGCCGCAAGGCUGAAACUCAAAGGAAUUGACGGGGGCCCGCACAAGCGGUGGAGCAUGUGGUUUAAUUCGAAGCUACGCGAAGAACCUUACCAGGUCUUGACAUACUAUGCAAAUCUAAGAGAUUAGACGUUCCCUUCGGGGACAUGGAUACAGGUGGUGCAUGGUUGUCGUCAGCUCGUGUCGUGAGAUGUUGGGUUAAGUCCCGCAACGAGCGCAACCCUUAUUAUCAGUUGCCAGCAUUAAGUUGGGCACUCUGGUGAGACUGCCGGUGACAAACCGGAGGAAGGUGGGGAUGACGUCAAAUCAUCAUGCCCCUUAUGACCUGGGCUACACACGUGCUACAAUGGAUGGUACAACGAGUUGCGAACUCGCGAGAGUAAGCUAAUCUCUUAAAGCCAUUCUCAGUUCGGAUUGUAGGCUGCAACUCGCCUACAUGAAGUCGGAAUCGCUAGUAAUCGCGGAUCAGCAUGCCGCGGUGAAUACGUUCCCGGGCCUUGUACACACCGCCCGUCACACCAUGAGAGUUUGUAACACCCAAAGUCGGUGGGGUAACCUUUUAGGAACCAGCCGCCUAAGGUGGGACAGAUGAUUAGGGUG
rnacentral:rRNA from 1 species